rnacentral:rRNA from 1 species
AUCAGCUGGACAUUUGUAAAGCCACUAUGUAGGAAUCUUUGGUUUGCAACCAUUAUCUUCUUCUUCUAUACUGGCAUUGUUGUGUGGAUGAUUGAACUACCCAGAAAUCCAGAGUACCAAGGAUCAAGUUUGAGACAAUGUAGCGCUGCCCUCUACUUUGUUUUCUCUACUUUGCCCUUUUCUCAUGGUCAAAUUAUUAGAAGCCCCUUGUCAAAAAUUGUCGUGGUAAUAUGGUGCUUUGUAGUGCUGAUUCUGGUACAGAGCUACACAUCAAGCUUGUCAUCCAUAUUAACCACAGAGAGGCUCCGUCCUUGGGUGAUUGAUCUAGACCAGCUCCAAGGCAGUGGGGAUUUUUUAGGAUACCAAGAUGAUUCAUGUGUGCGGUCCUUCUUGAUGAAUUAUCAAAAUAUCAGUGAAAGUAGGUUAAAAACCUACACAACGAAGGAAGAAUAUGCUGCCGCUUUGAGGAAGGGGUCCAAGAAUGGAGGGGUGUCGGCUAUCGUCAGUGCGAUCCCCUGUUUAACAUCUUUCCUCUCCGAUAGUCGGUACAGAGAUGAUUUUAUGAUGCUUGGCUGCAUAUACACGUCUCCUAGAUUUGGUUUUACAUUUCGUCUAGGUUUUCCGCUAGUGCAAAACCAUUCAACUACCAUCCUGAACCUACCAGAAGGGGUUAGCGACUCACAACGAAAAGUGAGAUGUUUUGGCACCACUUCAGUGCUGAUGGGUGAUGACACAGUUCCUGACUUUGGUUUUGUACCUCUCACCUUACAAAACUUCUCGGGGCUCUUCGUCGUCACUGGAUCCAUUUCAACUAUCAUGAUACUGAUAGCCAUUGUGAGGUUGGUUUAUGCCAAAUGCACCAGGUCGAGAAACACCGACAUGGAAAGCGCCAAGGAUAAUAGUGUCGAAGAGGAUCCCCGUUCGAUGCAAAACGGCUUGGACGACAACCCUAGCCCUAGCCAACAACUCCUCCACGAAGCCGGAGAAGAUAAUUUCCAAGGUGUGCGUGAGGGUAGCCAAAAUGAUGGGGGUGCGCAGCCUGACCCAGUGCAGCAGAAUGUCAUGCACGGUGGCAUCACCCUGCAGGACACUUACAGAUUGAAACUAACAAUGUCUGAGUCAAGAAAUGCCCAAGAUGAAGGGAAGCAUCAGAUGCGAGGAAUGCAAGAGAAGUACGCCAAACCUUGGAAGUACUUCUCUCGUCAUUGA